rnacentral:tRNA from 1 species
GUCGCACAGGCCUAAAUGGCGAGGCACCUGACUUCCAAUCAGGCGAGCCGGGUUCGAUUCCCGGGUGCGGCU